GUGCUUGCUUUGACAGCACAUAUACUAAAAUUUGAACAAUACAGAGAUUAGCUUGGCCCCUGUCUGAGGAUGACACACAAAUUCAUGAAGCAUUCCAUAUUUUU